UUUUAGAGUUUGAUUUCCCGCUCAGGACGAACGCUGGCGGCGUGCCUAAUACAUGCAAGUCGAACGCUUUUUCUUUCACCGGAGCUUGCUCCACCGAAAGAAAAAGAGUGGCGAACGGGUGAGUAACACGUGGGUAACCUGCCCAUCAGAAGGGGAUAACACUUGGAAACAGGUGCUAAUACCGUAUAACACUAUUUUCCGCAUGGAAGAAAGUUGAAAGGCGCUUUUGCGUCACUGAUGGAUGGACCCGCGGUGCAUUAGCUAGUUGGUGAGGUAACGGCUCACCAAGGCAACGAUGCAUAGCCGACCUGAGAGGGUGAUCGGCCACACUGGGACUGAGACACGGCCCAGACUCCUACGGGAGGCAGCAGUAGGGAAUCUUCGGCAAUGGACGAAAGUCUGACCGAGCAACGCCGCGUGAGUGAAGAAGGUUUUCGGAUCGUAAAACUCUGUUGUUAGAGAAGAACAAGGAUGAGAGUAAAACGUUCAUCCCUUGACGGUAUCUAACCAGAAAGCCACGGCUAACUACGUGCCAGCAGCCGCGGUAAUACGUAGGUGGCAAGCGUUGUCCGGAUUUAUUGGGCGUAAAGCGAGCGCAGGCGGUUUCUUAAGUCUGAUGUGAAAGCCCCCGGCUCAACCGGGGAGGGUCAUUGGAAACUGGGAGACUUGAGUGCAGAAGAGGAGAG
rnacentral:rRNA from 1 species